rnacentral:rRNA from 1 species
AUUGAACGCUGGCGGCAGGCCUAACACAUGCAAGUCGAGCGAGCGGCGGACGGGUGAGUAAUGUCUGGGAAACUGCCUGAUGGAGGGGGAUAACUACUGGAAACGGUAGCUAAUACCGCAUACCAUCAGAUGUGCCCAGAUGGGGGUAGCUAGGUGGUGGGGUAACGUCUCACCUAGGCGACGAUCCCUAGAUGGUCUGAGAGGAUGACCAGCCACACUGGAACUGAGACACGGUCCAGAUUCCUACGGAAGGCAGCAUUGUGGAUUAUUGCACAAUGGGCGCAAGCCGUAUUCAGCCAUGCCGCGUGUUUGAAGAAGGCCUUCGGGUUGUAAAGCACUUUCAGCGGGGAGGCGUUACCCUCAGAAGAAGCACCGGCUAACUCCGUGCCAGCAGCCGCGGUAAUUC